UUGCCAGUGAUAACCCACAUCAAUUCAAAACAUUGUGCUGUUAGUCAUAUAACCUUGUGGUGGCACAAAUAUAUUAUUCCUCUGCUUAAAUGGAUUCUGUUGCUUUAUGAAACACAGUACUUUAUUUUGCUUUAGAGAAAACUCAUUCAUCGGAUCUAACUUGUUCAAUUUCAGAACACUGAAAUACCAUUUUUAUUAACUGAUUACAAAAUAUUUUUACUAGGUAUAAAAAGAUGUUCUUCAUCAAACAAAUAUUUAAGUAUUUUAGUUUUGUAAAUAGUUUGAAAUUGAUGGAAGAUUACCUUUAAAACUAUUUAUUCGGCCUUCAGGUCUCUUUUUAACAAUUAAACUUCUUUUAACAGUUCCACUAAAUAACACAGAUUGACCCGAUCUACUGGUACAAUUUCGGCACUUCAGGAAUUUAAGGAUAUGGGUGAUGAUGCGUACGUGCAUUCCAUGAGUUCUUACUGAUUAUUACUUACAGGAUUAUUUAUUUAUUUAUUUAUUUGAGUUGGACUAAUGCAGGCCUAUUAACCUUUUUAAAAGUGGAUUUCUGCCAGCUUCUACUGUGUGUGGGUAAAGACAGGGAAAGAAAGGGAAAAAAACAAAACAAAAAAAAACCAACAGAGCAGCAGGAGAUAUGACAGCAUUCAUCUGUAAAGGGUUUUGGAUGACCACAUAUAUAAGAAAUUUGAUUUGUAAGCCACAAUUAAGAAAUUCUAGAACUAUUUUUUGUGGACAACAUUCAUCAUGCCAUCUGGUUCAUAUUUUUCAGGAAGAAUAAUAUAAACUCAGUGCUGUGGUAACACGUCCAGGUCUGCCUACAGUGUUAGAAGGUCACAUGCUAGUGGACAGAAGAGCAGUAAGGGUUUAGAGUGGGAUCUAAAACAGGAUUGUGCAGCUGAAGCAGUCAGAAACAGAACAAAGUUUGUUUUCCUACAAAAAUUCAAGCACGCUUAAAAUUAAGUAGUCAGCAAAAGAGAAGCUUCUGGACCUUGAACAUCAACCAACUUGAGCAUUUCCCAAAAGUAACCAGCACUGGAGAGAAAGCAGCUGAGAUGUACAACUGAAGGUGUUUAGAUGGAUUGGAAUAGGGGAAGAUAGUUUCCUGAAACCUCACAAAAAUUAGCAAAUGUCUUUUAAAGGAAAGGUGCUGUUCAUUUAAUCUUCUGGACAAAGAUUACGCUCUAAAUGGCUGCACUCUUCCUAGACAACUUUCAUUUAUAUCCACCCAAGACUUUCACAGACAUUGCCAACGUGGUAAGGCAUAUCAUGAUAUCUCACAUUCCUUCUCUAAAAUCCCUUUACUGAGGUUGCUAAAACAGAGUAACUAUAUACAAACUAGGUUAAAACUCCGUAACCCACGUCUGGCUUUUAUCACAUCUGUUUUCAAAGAAAAGGAGAAAAAUCAUCAGAAAGACCACGUGAAAGUCACCACGUUUGGUAGCUGCAGCAUUUAACAAAGCACCUAAUUAAGAACCUUGCUCUGCACAAGCAAGUCGGCAUCAGUCGGGGCUGCCAUAGGGAAGCCAAAUGUGUUGGGCGUAAGUGGGGCGCACUGGGGACAAGGUCUCACUGCUACAAACUUCUGGUGGGAUUUCAGUGCAACGGAAGAGAGUGAAGAGCACCUAAGUUUUUUUUUUCUUUUUUCUUUUUUUUUCCUUCCCCUUUAAAGGAGCUCAUUUAGGCAGAGACAAGUACACAGCAGCGAUUUCACUGAAACAUGAGCAACAAGUCUGCGUCCCAGCUGUGCAGGCAUAACUUCACCGCAGUUCCUCUCUCAAUGGAGCAUGGUUAGAAGUUGCAGUCGGGUCGUAUUUUCAGAGGUGUAUAAAAAUAUGACAAAAGGAAGCAAAGAAUAAUCCCUGUUAUAAGAAAGAUGAGAAGUCCAGUAGUGGCCAUUGAGAGGUUCCCAAGUAAAGCUCCUCAUUUACAAUUUAUUCUUGAGAUGAGAGAACUAAGACAAGACCUUUGUAGAAAGGCACUCAGCAGGGAGCUUUGAAGCUGCGAAAGACGCACACAAUCAUUAUUCUUGCUCUGGAGUCGUUUGCAGCAGACCACACUGCCUCCUGUUUGAGAAGAAGAGCCAGUACACUAGAAGUGUCCACCCUCCGUUCUCCUUCCUCCAGCUACAGACAAAGCUCGAGGAAAAGGAAAGCGGAAAGGAAGAAAUUGAGCUCUGUUCUUAAAAGGUGGUGGGACCUUCUUCAGAAUUAAAACGUUGUAAUAUACAAACCAUAGUGCCACACUGUCUUCAUGACUGUGGAAUAGGUAGUGAGUGGAGUACACAUAAUGCUCCUGCUACUGCUCCCUAAAACUCUGGUUAUUCUAGUGCAAAGUAUAAAGUGCCAACGACAUGGAAACAUGCAUGCUAAUGCAGAGACGAGAUUUGAGGUGUCCAAUGUGUUUGUGCUGAAAAAGCCGCCCCUUAGGAAAGCAGUGCUUUUUCGGGGGGUGGGGGGUGGGAACCACACACUAAAAACAGAAAAACCAGCAGAACAAAACACUCCCUUCCCCCCCAACCCUGUAAAUUAUAGCAUGCAACCACACAAUGCUAUCAUUCCCUCUCAAAGAUCACAGGGUCCAGCUUGCCUGAUCUUGCAUUUUUCCCUGCACGUUCCUGUAUUGGCUUUGCAAUUAUUCAAGCAUUCUGUUUUUAAAAGAAACACCUAGAAGUAUUUCUCCACUUAAAUAAACAAACAGUAUUAGCAAGAAGCCCAACACUCACAAAGUCCACUUUAAAAAAGUAAAACACGUAUGUUAGGGAUGAAUAAUUUUGCAGCAAUAAUAAACAUAAUACUUGGCUCUGAUACAGCAUUAUCCACAUGAAAAGAGAAAGUAUUUCAAGCCUCCACUGUGAUACAGUGAAGAAUUAGGAAGAAUUAUGAGUCCUGACAAAAAUGCCUUGAAGAUGUCUUUAAGAGUUUGGAAGUAUGUCUCCAUGAUCACGUUUCACAGCGUUUUAUCAGAACAUAUUCAGCUUCAGAAACAGCAGUGAUCCACAAUUUCACAAGUUGACCAAAAAGUCUUGCACUCAUUUGCAUCGCAAAUGGAAAGAAGCUUUUCAGACUGAACAAAUGCUUUCUCACACAAACCCCUCUUCAGCUGAAACUGUGUUCAAGAGAAAAGCAUGGAGGUGUCAGACCUGAGACAUUUGCAAGUCUGUUUUUAAUUAAGAGACGGGUAAAAUAAUUGCACUUUGAUUUGAAGCCUUAUAUUUCAGAAUACAGACUCUUUAGACACCACAGAACUGAAGAUUUGGGAGCCCAGAGCUCUCUGGGGCCAGUAAUGCCCUCCAUUGACAUUCUGCCUUUUGGAGCAAAUGGCACCGUCUUGUGAAGCAAUCUUUUAGCGUGGCAAUGCUAGGACUGCAGAACCUGUUUGUGUUUGGUUUGGCAGGCUACGGCAAUGUCAGUAAGGGCACGUUCGCACUGCGACCCAGAGGCUGCACCAGAGCCCAGGUUCCUUCCCGUGCCCCCCGUGACUAAACCUUCGAGGGGACUUUCACAGGAUUUCUGUCCACUCCAUCACAAAUCCCCAGCUCAAUCAAUGAAACAGUUCAGAGCCCAUAGUACUGCUGCUGCUUUUCUACACAGACUUAUCAGAAGGGACUAUAAAUUCCAGUGGAUUAUUUAGUAUUUACAGCCUUUGACACAGAUUCAUGGUUAAUUCACAACUUGGUCCAUUGUUUUCUAUCUAUUACCUGAACAUAAAUACAGAAUUCUAUACAGAAACAUUUUUCCUUGUCUUUCCUCCAAAUAUUUGCUCAGAAAUAUUUCAGUAACCUGGAUAACCCAGAAAGCCCUAGUGAAUGUUUCAUUUGGAAGACUCUCCAGUCCUUUGACCAUUACAAAAUUUCCCACCAAUACCACUGGGUUCAAAAUCUACUCCCAGUUAAUGAUGUCUGUGACUUACGGAGCUCUUAAUACAUACAGCAUGUCUUCACUUGUUUGCAAUUUGUUUGCAAAAUUUACUUCCCAGCACUCCCAUGCACGUCACUGUCCUCAUCAUGUGCAAUUUCAGAGAUGAGUCCAUGAACUGUACGGUAAACUGAAAUGAACAUACACAUGCAAUACAGAUUUUCUUGUGUGCCUUUCAAGGCAGCUGUGCAGUCACCCACGUCCCUGGAUGGCACAUAAGCUUCAGCACGUUUUCACCGAUAUCCCUUCUCACACAUUUGGCUUUCAAGACAGGCUUGUAAAUAAUGCGUGGCCCUGUUUCAUGUCUUAUUGAGGUAAAGCUUCUCGGAAUGUCCAAGGAACAAUAAUGUGGUAUUUCUUGAUUACAUAAGCAUAUAAAUGUGCAGACUAAUGAUGUUUUUUAAAGCAGACAGUGGUUUUCGCUUGUUUAAGAAACUUACAUCACAUAGAAAUAUAAUAUAGCUUGGAAGUUGCUGGCCACAGCACUUGCAUCUCCUGUCAGCUCGAGAGGCUGGGCUGGAGCCCGCUGGAAGCUGCUAUGCCCAGCGCUGCUGACUCUGCAAAACAGUUUCAAAGGGUCAUCGGUUCUUCAAAGCAAAGGCAACUGUCACCCAUGAAGGCAGUAGCUACUUCCACGUUGUGGCACAGCCCAUGAUAUAUAAGAUGAUGUUUUCUGACAAUAGUAAGGAUAUUAGUAAUAAAAAGUAGGAUAAUCACAGGAUUUUCUCUUGGUGAGCACGCUUGCCAUUCCUUGUUGAAACCGGUCUCUCAGAUUCAUUG